GAUUUCACGUCUAUUUUAUUACUCGAUGUUGUAUAAAGUGAACAUUUCUUGUGACAUGUGUAUUCUAUUGGAAUAUUAGUUGCAUUAAGCUUAUUCAAUUUAUGAGACUUGAUUGCGAUGUUGAUUAUUUAUGAUCUAUAGUUUCUAAACUUUGAAGGCAAAGAGUAUUGUACGUGAGAGUUAUAAGUGAAAUGUUUAAGAAAUCCAACGAACAAAGUAUGAAGAAUAUUAGGGGGGUAAAUACACCAAGAUCGAAUCAAUCAUUACAUUCGAAUAAUAAGAACAUUUUACUUACGGAAGAGGAGAUACGCGAAUACUUCAAGCUCGUAGAAUACGAAAAAAUGCUUGAUCAAGAAUUGUCCAAUUUGAGGAAGGAAGAGACAGAAUUUCGUUCAACUCAAGAAACUAUGGAUUUAUUACAUAAAUACAAUGAUAUUAAAGAUGUAACUCAAAUGGUUCUAGGUGCAAUAGCUGUAGCAAAUAAAACUACGAUUAGAAAUCUGUAUAAACAAUAUGAUUUAUCACUGGAAGAAGAUUAAAAAUUCACAUUUUCUCAUAUAUGA